AGCCUUCCUGGGAAAUGUAGUCUCCUGAGUGAAGCUUCGCAGCUUCCCCGGGCUGUUUUGCUACUGGCCAAAAAGGGGCUUUGCUACCACCUUGGAUUACUGUGACAGAGAAACGAAACCUUGUGUGAAAAACGUAUCCAUCGCAUCAGAGUGGGAACCAGGAUCUUAUCCGGCUUACAAUGCUCUUGACUGUAACAUCUGCAAGGGACACACGGGAGCCCUGAAAGGCCUGGUGUCUCUACAGGGAGGAUGACUCUUCAGCCACUGUCCUUUGCUUCUGUCUCCCGGUUUACUUGCGAAUGUUUAUUGUGAUGAGUCUUGUUGAGGCCUCUAGUUUCUGCUACACCAUCAAUAUUGAACUCUUGUGGAGACUCCUCUCAGAUAUUUGGUUGUAGCCCAGAGUCAUGGAGACCCUGCAGGUAUGGUUCCGCGGGACUGACCACUUCGCAUUCUCCAGCGGCUCUCAAAUGUUAGGGCGAGCCAACUCCAAGGAUCUGGGCCUGGGUGGGUGGUAGCUGAGUUGGUGUAGUGGCAGCCGAGUGGAGUUGUGGGGCAGCUCAGCACGGCCCACGGACAUCCGUGUAGCCUUCCAUGGUAACGUGAGCCACAGACAUCACCACCGCCUCUGUCUGGAUCUGGACCACUGACCCACUCACAGCCCUCAGCAGGACUUUAAGCCUCAUCGUGGUUUCAGAUGGCUACACAAGCAUCAGCGUGGCCCCCCUGAGGCAGCAAAGCCUGAGGACAUCACCACAUCUUCAGUCAGAGGCACAGAGCUUACAUCCCCGUGGACCUCAGACUUCAUCCUGGCCUGGGGCAGCAGCAUGGACCACAGACACCAGCAUGGCCUCUGGUGACAUCAUGGACCAUGGUGGUCCUUCCAGGAGGUCCAAUCCAGACAUUGAACUUUUCCUCAUCUCAGGCCUCCAUCAUUGAACAGAGCCAGGAUGAUCCUGUGACCUGACUGGGUGGCAGGUUCGGGACCUGAGUCUGCAGCUGCACAAGCUCCAGGAUGCUGCACAGCACCCUGCACACCUUACUGCGCUAUGACGGCAGGUUAACCCUCUCUCUUCCCUAUCACCACGUCUCCAGUUCUGCCUCCCUCCAUAGAGCACACACCGCUGUUUUCUGUCUUUCCCAUCUCCCCAUCACAUAUGAUCAUCACAGUGGCCUUUUCCCCAAGGAAAUGAAUUUUUGUUUUGUUUUGUUUUGUUUUGUUUUGUUUUGUUUUGUUGGUUUUUCGAGACAGGGUUUCUCUUUAUAGCUCUGGCUGUCUUGGAGCUCACUUUGUAGACCAGGCUGGCCUCGAACUCAGAAAUCCGCCUGCCUCUGCCUCCCCAGUGCAGGGAUUAAAGGCGUGCGCCACCACACCUGGCAAGGAAAUGAAUUUUAUGGAGAAAUAAAUAAUAAAGAGAAUUCUGACGCUGGGCAGUGGUGGCACACACCUUUAAUCCCAGCAUAUGGGAGUCAGAGAGGCAGAAAGAUCUUUGAGUUUGAGGCCAGCCUAGUCUUUGGAGUGAGUUUGGGGACAGCCAGGGCUAAACAGAGAAACCCUGUCUUG
rnacentral:lncRNA from 7 species